CCCAGCUGUAGGCAACUGCCUGGGUUACCUUGUACCCAGGCAAAUGCUACACUGCUGGGGGAAAAAAGCAGCCAGUAGCUGAUGGGCAUUUGGGGCCUGGUUAAUGCCAAAUUUGCGCUAACAAU
ensembl:snoRNA SNORA74 Small nucleolar RNA SNORA74